rnacentral:rRNA from 1 species
GGAGUGGGGGGGAGUAUGUCUGGGAACUGCCUGCAUGGAGGGGGAUAACUACUGGAAACGGUAGCUAAUACCGCAUAACGUCGCAAGACCAAAGAGGGGGACCUUCGGGCCUCUUGCCAUCGGAUGUGCCCAGAUGGGAUUAGCUAGUAGGUGGGGUAACGGCUCACCUAGGCGACGAUCCCUAGCUGGUCUGAGAGGAUGACCAGCCCCACUGGAACUGAGACACGGUCCAGACUCCUACGGGAGGCAGCAGUGGGGAAUAUUGCACAAUGGGCGCAAGCCUGAUGCAGCCCUGCCGCGUGUAUGAAGAAGGCCUUCGGGUUGUAAAGUACUUUCAGCGGGGAGGAAGGGAGUAAAGUUAAUACCUUUGCUCAUUGACGUUACCCGCAGAAGAAGCACCGGCUAACUCCGUGCCAGCAGCCGCGGUAAUACCGAGGGUGCAAGCGUUAAUCGGAAUUACUGGGCGUAAAGCGCACGCCGGCGGUUUGUUAAGUCAGAUGUGAAAUCCCCGGGCUA